rnacentral:rRNA from 1 species
UACGUAGGUGGCAAGCGUUGUCCGGAUUUAUUGGGUUUAAAGGGUGCGUAGGCGGUCCUAUAAGUCAGUGGUGAAAGCUCCGGGCUUAACUUGGAAACUGCCAUUGAUACUGUAUAUCUUGAAUGUCGUUGAGGUUAGCGGAAUGUUGCAUGUAGCGGUGAAAUGCUUAGAUAUGUUACAGAACACCAAUUGUGAAGACAGCUAACUAAGCGAUGAUUGACGCUGAGGCACGAGAGCGUGGGGAGCAAACAGG